rnacentral:rRNA from 1 species
GCCUAAAAUCAAGCCUUUAACUCUUAUUAUUCAACCCCAUUUCUAUUCCUUCCCCUAAAUAAAACAUUUUAUUACUUUAGUAGAGGUGAUCGAAAAAUUAAUUAGCGCUUCACACACAGUACCGCAAGGGAACGAUGAAAUAGCUUUGAAAUAGACUAAAAGCCAAAAACAGCAGAGAUUACCCCUCGUACCUUUUGCAUCAUGGUUUAGCCAGUCCUAACCAAGCAAGGCGAACCCAAGUUUGGUCCCCCGAAACUAGGCGAGCUACUUCGAAACAGCUUUUAGAGCCAACCCAUCUCUGUUGCAAAAGAGUGGGAUGAUUUCCAAGUAGAGGUGAAAAGCCUAUCGAGCCUAGAGAUAGCUGGUUAUUCAAGAAAUGAAUUUUAGUUCACCCUUAAGCCCCCCCCCGGUAACCUAAACACGACUCCCCCGCUUAAGAGCUAUUCAAUUAAGGCACAGCUUAUUUGAAAAAGAAUCCAAUCUAUAAUUCAGGGUAAGCCACGACUGCCUUGUUAAGUGGGCUUGAAAGCAGCCACCUUUCAAAAAGCGUUUAAGCUUAGCAUAUUCUAUUAAUAAAAUUCCACAACACCCCACGAACCCGACACCACAAUUGAAUAACUCUAUAGAUUAUAGAAGAUAUGAUGCUAAAACUAGUAACAAGAAAAAGACCUUUCUCCAAAAUAUAAGUGUAUGUCAAAACGAACUCAUCAUUGACACCUAACGCCCUUGAGCCCAAGAUAAUAACCCACCAAGAAAACCUUAUUACACAAUGACGUUAACCUAACACAAGAAUAUUUCUGGAAAGAUUAAAAGAGGGAGAAGGAACUCGGCAAAUCUAAGCCCCGCCUGUUUACCAAAAACAUCGCCUCUUGAAUAGAUAUAAGAGGUCCAGCCUGCCCAGUGAUACAAUUUAACGGCCGCGGUAUACUGACCGUGCGAAGGUAGCAUAAUCACUUGUUCUUUAAAUGGGGACUAGUAUGAACGGCACCACGAGGGCUUUACUGUCUCCUCCCUUCAAUCAGUGAAACUGACCUCCCUGUGAAGAGGCAGGGAUACCACUAUAAGACGAGAAGACCCCAUGGAGCUUUAAACCCAACAACAGCCCAAACACCACCACCCCAAAAAGUUUUAAGGGUAUUGCUAGUUGGUUUUAGGUUGGGGUGACCGCGGAGUAUAAACUAUCCUCCACGACGAACGGGCCUACCCCCUUACCCAAGAGCUACGCCUCUAAGGAUUAACACAUUAACGUAAAAUGAUCCAAAUAUUUGAUCAACGAACCAAGUUACCCUGGGGAUAACAGCGCAAUCCAUUUUUAGAGCCCCUAUCGACAAAUGGGUUUACGACCUCGAUGUUGGAUCAGGGUAUCCAGGAGGUGCAGCCGCUUCCAAUGGUUGUU